AUGUCAUGUUGGGGACAACUUGUGCACAACCAUUUAAAUCUCUCUCAAUAUUCAUAUAGUUUUUCAGAAUCCUUCUGCGUGAUACCACUGAUCUCUCUCCUGAUGCC